rnacentral:rRNA from 1 species
CUCGCUUCGUAGGUGACCUGCGGAAGGACAUUACCGA